UGAUGUAGCCCUCUUGGGCGUUUCCUCCCUGGACUUGGGCCGCCUGUACUUCAGGCGGCCUUUCUUUUUGUUUGC
rnacentral:sRNA from 1 species